GGCCCGUUGGUCAAGUGGUUAAGACACCGCCCUUUCACGGCGGUAACACGGGUUCGAAUCCCGUACGGGUCAUAA
rnacentral:tRNA from 4 species